GAUGAACGCUGGCGGCGUGCCUAAUACAUGCAAGUCGAGCGAACAGACGAGGUGCUUGCUCCUUUGACGUUAGCGGCGGACGGGUGGGUAACACGUAGGUAACCUACCUAUAAGACUGGGAUAACUUCGGGAAACCGGAGCUAAUACCGGAUAAUAUUUCGAACCGCAUGGUUCGAUAGUGAAAGAUGGCUUUGCUAUCACUUAUAGAUGGACCUGCGCCGUAUUAGCUAGUUGGUAAGGUAACGGCUUACCAAGGCAACGAUACGUAGCCGACCUGAGAGGGUGAUCGGCCACACUGGAACUGAGACACGGUCCAGACUCCUACGGGAGGCAGCAGUAGGGAAUCUUCCGCAAUGGGCGAAAGCCUGACGGAGCAACGCCGCGUGAGUGCUGAAGGUCUUCGGAUCGUAAAACUCUGUUAUUAGGGAAGAACAAACGUGUAAGUAACUGUGCACGUCUUGACGGUACCUAAUCAGAAAGCCACGGCUAACUACGUG
rnacentral:rRNA from 1 species